UCAGUGUAUCCAGUUAUUAUGGUUAGAAAUUUUUCUGGAAGGAGAUUUGGUCCACGAGUAAAGGCGUUAAAGUCGUGACGUCAGAAGUCGCAGCAUUGUAUCUACUCUCAACUUUUUUGAUUGUAUAAUAAAAGGAAAACGAAAAUAAAGUCAAGAAUGCAUCGUACUGCUUUGGAUUAAAAAAGAUAACAAGUGAUUCGGGAGUGAGUGUUCAGGGUUGCCACAGGUCAGGAAAUUUAAAUAAAAGUACUGAAAAAAUAUAAAAUUUUUAGAAUUUUUAACAAAAUUCUGGA